UUUCCCCAUUCUUCCAGAAAAGUAGACCUGGGAGGAAAGACUGGGUUUUCCAGCGCCUGCUGACUUUCUUGGAAAUGAUGGGCAUAGUGCCCAAUUUGCUAUUGCCCUAGUUUCCAAUGGCUACUUCUAAAGAGGAAAGCGAUCCUCUCCUUUCUUGCAGGCUGAAACAAGGAGGAGGUGAGGAGGGUUCUCUCACCACCAUCAGCAAAUGGAUGGCAAACUUAUUGAUGUCCUUAAAAUAGGGGCUCCCAUGAGUCAAGAACUUCAUAUGUGAUUCCAUGAAGCUUUGUGAACACCAGCUAUGCUUUACCACCACUAAGCAGUACUACUGAGGAGAUCGAGGGCCAAGAACUUCAAAAUUUUCAUGAUCAAGAGCCACCCUUUCCAGCAAGAAUCACCACCAAUGGCUUCAUGGAAGAAGUGGCAUUUGAAGAAUAGUAUGAUUUUGACAAGUGGAGCUGGGAGAGGAGGACACUUCUGAAUAAGGAAGCAGCAUGUUCAAAGGCCAGGGGGCCACUUGGUUGCACAGGCUGAACCAUAUUCACCUCUAGGAAGCCAUUCAGGUAACCGUGUGGAAUUGGCCACAUGGCAGCCCUGCUGGAAAGCACAGGCCCAGGAACCUCGAAACUGACCUGCUGGAG